rnacentral:lncRNA from 1 species
GAGGAGCACAGGCACAGCUCUGCCUCUGUCACUGCCAGCUCGCGGUGAUUGCGUGUCCUGGCAGUGGGAAAGUAUCGUAGAGGAGUAUGAAGAUGAAAUAUUCUCACUUAUCGCCCAAGAGGCAGACUAUCUAGCUGACAAGCUGUGCAGUGAAAAAUCAGUGGUAUAUGCAAGUGUAUUUGCCAAGGUGGGAGAAAGAGGGGAAAGGCUGCUUCACAGAAGGUGGAGAACAGGAAGAGGAGCCAGGCCAAGGAGCCCAGGUAAAUGGAAGAGUCUUUGGGAGCUGAUACAAAGGUUUGCAGAGAGUAAGAGGAGCCUAUUUUAACUAUCUUUCUAUAGGAUAAAGACUUUGUUGGGCAGA